UACGUAGGGGGGGCUAGCGUUUGUCCCGGGAAUUUACUGGGGCGUAAAAGGGGCUUUGUAGGGUGGGCCCAAACUAAAGUCAGACGUGAAAUCCCCUCAGCUUAACUGGGGAACUGCGUCUGGAUACUGGAUGGCUUGAGAUUGGGAGAGGACGCGGAUUCCAGGUGUAGCGGUGAAUGCGUAGAUAUCUGGAGGAACACCGGUGGCGAAGGCGGCGUCCUGGACCACACUGACACUGAAGCGAAGCCAGGAGCAACGG
rnacentral:rRNA from 1 species